rnacentral:precursor_RNA from 14 species
GAAGACUGAGAUAUGUUUGUUGCUACUGAUCAUCCGAUAACAAGUGUUGGAUAGGGAAUAAUAAUAAGUACGAAUCCAACACUUCCAAUCGGAUCGUCUGUAGUGAUACCGAACAUCUGUAGAAUUG